GUUAUAACUUGUGUUGUGCGACAUACAUCACUAGGCGUUGAUAUAAAGAGGGCCGGGUUCACAGGGAGUAAGAAGUGAGGGCGGCAACUCUGCACGAGCGCCUUAUCACUAAUGAUCCCUCCGCAGGUUCACCUACGGAGA
rnacentral:misc_RNA from 1 species